UACAGAGGUCUCAAGCGUUGUUCGGAUUCAUUGGGCGUAAAGGGUGCGUAGGUGGCGCUGUAAGUCGGGUGUGAAAUUUCGGAGCUUAACUCCGAAACUGCAUUCGAUACUGCGGUGCUUGAGGACUGGAGAGGAGACUGGAAUUCAUGGUGUAGCAGUGAAAUGCGUAGAGAUCAUGAGGAAGACCAGUGGCGAAGGCGGGGUCUCUGGACAGUUCCUGACACUGAGACACGAAGGCCAGGGGGAGCAAACGGGG
rnacentral:rRNA from 1 species